GGAUGGGUGGCAGAGUGGCCGAACGCGGUAGUCUUGAAAACUAUUGAGGCGCAAGCCUCCGGGGGUUCGAAUCCCUCCCCAUCCGCCA
rnacentral:tRNA from 1 species